rnacentral:rRNA from 1 species
AACGCUGGCGGCGUGCUUAACACAUGCAAGUCGAACGGAGCACCCUUGACUGAGGUUUCGGCCAAAUGAUAGGAAUGCUUAGUGGCGGACUGGUGAGUAACGCGUGAGGAACCUGCCUUCCAGAGGGGGGACAACAGUUGGAAACGACUGCUAAUACCGCAUAAGCGCACGGUAUCGCAUGAUACAGUGUGAAAAACUCCGGUGGUAUAAGAUGGACCCGCGUCUGAUUAGCUUGUUGGCGGGGUAACGGCCCACCAAGGCGACGAUCAGUAGGGGUUCUGAGAGGAAGGUCCCCCACAUUGGAACUGAGACACGGUCCAAACUCCUACGGGAGGCAGCAGUGAGGAAUAUUGGUCAAUGGACGAGAGUCUGAACCAGCCAAGUAGCGUGCAGGAUGACGGCCCUAUGGGUUGUAAACUGCUUUUAUAAGGGAAUAAAGUGAGUCUCGUGAGGCUUUUUGCAUGUACCUUAUGAAUAAGGACCGGCUAAUUCCGUG